rnacentral:lncRNA from 1 species
UUCGAUAUUGGGAGAAAUAUCCUCUCCCCAUUGGGAUAUUAGGAACAAUAUCCCAGGGGGAUGUCCACCCUCUGCGAUAUUGGGAGUAAUAUCAUCCUCUAUUUCCCUGGAUGUUAGACACAAUAUCACAAAAAGGUGUACACCCCCUGUGAUAUUGGGAGUAAUAUCCUCUCCUUCCCUGGAUAUUAGAAAACAAUAUCAUCAGGGGUGAACACCCCCUGCGAUAAUGGGAAUAAUAUUUUCUCUUUCACAGGCCAUUAGGAACAAUAUCACAGGGGGUGUUUACAUACCUUGCGAUAUUGGAGGUAAUAUUCUCUGCCCCCCCCCCCCCCCCCGGAAUAUUACCAACAAUAUCAAACAGGGGUGGUGUACACCCCCUGUGAUAUUGGGAUUAAUGUCAUUCUCUCCACCCCUGGAUAUUAAGAACAAUAUCACGGCGGGGGGUGGUACACCCCCAGUGAUAUUGGGAAUAAUGUUAUCCUCUCCUUCCCUGGAUAUUAGGAACAACAUCACAGGGGGGUGUACACCUUCUGUGAUAUUGGAAGCAAUAUUAUCCUCUCCCCAGCUGGAUAUUAGAAAAAAUAUCACACAUGAUGUACACCCACUGUGAUAUUAGGAAGAAUAUUACAGGGUGUACACCCACUCUGACUUUAGGAGAAAUAGCUCCCUAAAAUAUCACAAGCAGUAUCACAGGGUAUACGGUAAUAUCUCCCUAGGGUAUUACAAAUACUAUCACAGGGUGUACACCCACUGUGAUAACAGGAGUAAUAUGUCCCAAGGAUAUUACGAAUAAUAUCACAGGCUGUACACCCACUAUGACAUAAGGAGUGAUAUCUCCUUAGGAUAUUACAAAUAACAUCACGGAAUGUACACCCAUGGUGUGCACCUACCCUGAUAUUAGGAGUAAUAUCUACCCAGGACAUAACCAGUAAUAGCACAGGGUGUACAUACAUGACGUACACCCACUGUGAUGUUAUGAGAACUGUCUCCCUAGGAUAUUACGAAUGACAUCACAGAGUGUACACACAUGGUAUACACCCACUGUGGCACUAGGAAUAAUAACUUUCUAAGAUACUACGAAUAGCAUCACAGAAUAUAAACACAUGGUGUACACCCACUGUAACAUUAGGCGUAAUUUCUCCCUAGGGUAUUAUGAGUAACAUCUAAGUGUGUACACACAUGGUGUACACCCACUGUGACAUUAAGGGUAAUAUCCCCCUAGGAUAUUACGAAUAACAUCACAGGGUCUUCACACAUUGUGUACACGCACUGUAAUAUUAGGAAUAAUAUCUCUGUAGGGUAUUAUGAAUAAUAUCACAGGGUGUACAGCCACUGUGAUAUUAGAGGUAAUAUAUCUCUAAGAUAUUAUGAAUAGUAUCACAGGGUGUACACCCACUCUGAUAUUGGGAGCAAUAUCUCUCUAGGAUAUUACAAAUAAUAUCACAGAGUGUACACCCACUGUGAUAUUAGGAGAAAUAUCUCUCUGGGAUAUUACGAAUUAUAUCACAGAGUAUACACACAUGGUGUACACCCACUUUGAUAUUAGGAGUAAUAUCUUCCUAGGACAUUACAAAUUAUAUCACAGUGUACACCCACUGUAAUAUUAGGAGUCAAAUCUCUCUAGCUUAUUACAAAUAAUAUCACAGGGUGUACACCCACUGUGAUAUUAGGAGUAAUAUCUUCCUAGGGUAUUAUGAAUAAUUUCAGAGGGUGUACACAUAUGGUGUACACUCACUGUGAUAUUAGGAGUGAUAUCUACCUAGUAUAUAACAAAUCACAGGGUGUACACCCACUUUGAUAUUAGCUGUAAUAUUUUUCUAAGUUGUUACAAAUAAGAUCACAGGGUGUACAAACAUGGUGUACACUCACUGUGAUAUCAGGAGUUGUAUCUCUGUAAGAUAUUAUGAAUAAUAUCACAGGGUGUACACCCACUGUAUUAUUAGGAGUAAUAGUUCUGUAGGAUAUUACAAUUAAUAUCACAGGGUGUACACCCACUGUGAUAUUAGGAGCAAUAUCUUUCUAGGAUAUUACAAAUAAUAUCACAGGGUGUACGCCCACUCUGAUGUCAGGAGCAAUAUCUCUCUAGGAUAUCAAAAAUAAUAUCACAGGGUGUACAAUCUCUGCCUUCCAGGUUCUAAGGGAUUCUCCUGCUUCAGCCUCCUGAGUAGCUAGGGUUACCUGCCACCACGCCUGGCUAAUUUAUUUUCACUAGAGACUGGUUUCACCAUGUUCGCCAGGCUGGUCUGGAACUCCUGACCUCAGGUGAUCCAUCAGCCUCGGCCUCCCAAAGUGCUGGGAUUACAGGUGUGAGCCAUCACGCUCGGCCAAGAGUUAUAUAUUCAAUUAAUUUGGAAACACAGCUCCCAUAUUUGAGUGUGCAUGUACUUUUAUGAAGAAAUGAUGUCAGAAAACCUAAGGAUGAUAAUUAAUAUGAAAAGUAACUGGCAUGUUAAAAGGUCUUCCGAUUAAGAACUGUAUAAGGUUUGAUUUCGUUUUUAGAUAAUGCUGUCCUAGCUCUUGUAUCGUCCUUUUAAAUAUUCUACAUCAAAGGAAUUUGUAGCACAGUGUCAGAAUAAAAAAGGUGUAUUUCACUGC